rnacentral:rRNA from 1 species
UACGUAGGGUCCGAGCGUUGUCCGGAAUUACUGGGCGUAAAGAGCUCGUAGGUGGUUUGUCGCGUUGUUCGUGAAAACUCACAGCUCAACUGUGGGCGUGCGGGCGAUACGGGCAGACUUGAGUACUGCAGGGGAGACUGGAAUUCCUGGUGUAGCGGUGGAAUGCGCAGAUAUCAGGAGGAACACCGGUGGCGAAGGCGGGUCUCUGGGCAGUAACGGACGCUGAGGAGCGAAAGCGUGGGGAGCGAACAGG